AUCUGGGAUCAUAAUUUUCUGCGGUUUAUUUUUUUAAUCACAUAGAAAGAAAAGUGACAUGAAAUCUGACGAUUCCUUCAAUCCAACCAUCAUAUAAACAUUUUUUGGUAGGGAAAAACACAUUUAAAAUACAAAUGUGUUUUCCGGAUGCUAUUAACUGCAUGCCAGGGAUUAAUGCCCAAAAAAGUCGCCAAGGAUGCCACGAUACUUUCAAUGAAAAUGCUAAACACAUGCCAAAGAUUCUUCUCAGAAAGAGGAAAACAUAUUGCUUGCUUUCCUGAAAUCAGCUUCGCGAAAAUUGAUUUGUGUUAAAGACAGAGAUUUACCUUCAUUAUUUAUUUGUUACAUGUUUAAGAUAAAGG